rnacentral:lncRNA from 1 species
GGGCACCGUGAGCUGGGCCAGAGCGGACGCCGAGGCUGAGGAGACGCCGAGAGCGAGCGAGGGCUGCUAGCACGUUGUCGCCUCUCAGUGCCAUCCUUGGCCGUCUGGUAGCAGCUGUAAUGAAUAAAGGACUAAAGAAAAACCGUAAGAAAAAGAACCUUCCCGGUUAUUUCAUCGUAGCUGCGCUGGAAACAAUAUUUGAAACUGAGUACAAUGCAGAAAUAGCAGCUCAGAGAGGCAACUGACCUGCCCACAGCCCCAGGAACCAGGUCUAGAGGGACCCUGCUGUAUCUUUGCCUGAGAGAUGGAGCUGUCUGUUACCGGCACAGCCUGAAGGGGAAGAAGACCAUGGAGCUGCCUCACCUGCUAACUCUUCUCGAUUGAACCAGCUCUCCACUUGGGAAUUUGACUGCAACAUGCCUUCUCAGGACACCAGGCAUCCUAGCCUUAAGGAGGGCACAGGUACAUUUUCCUAGGCCAAAUUAAUAUGGAUUUUGAAUUACCUUCUAUUGUUCAGAAAGAUCCUUUCUGCAUUGGUGGCUUUGACAUUUCCCAGGCUGCAAGAGCCAUGGAUCUACUCUGACAGCUGCGUUGGAGAAGGUUCUGAAAGUCUUCUUUACAUCCCUAACCAGACAGGUCAUCAGGAAACUCCUCCAACAAGCGCUGAC